AUUUUGUUGUUAGAAUAAGCUAAAUUGAUCAUUCUUAUUGAAUCUAUAAAGAAUCAGAAAAUUAAGAGGCGAAUCUUCACAACUUUAGUAGGUGAGGCUAUGAGAAAUUGCCCAUGAAAAGGUGUGCCAGCACAUGCGGUCAGACAUCUGGGCAAAUCAAUUUUUCUUGGAAAAACAUAAAUUGGACAGUGAAACUUACUGCUUAAAGGUGAAAUUAGGGCAUGAGGUGAAAUUUUAUAGAAUUGUUGGUAGAAAUUGAAAUAAACAGGGAUUAGACACCCCUUUAUAGGUUUGUAAGAAUAAUUUCCAAAGCUAAUGUUACAAAGAUGUGGUUAAAAUUUAUUUAUCAUGGCGGUAGAGAGUCUAUUCAGAGGCAUAUGUCAGUAAACGAAACUGCCCGAACACUUUACUUUUUUAAAUUCUUGUACAUCGCUGUUUAGAAAGGUAGAACAAGUCUGUUCUGCCCAACUAGAUAUAGAUUUUAGUAAAUCAAGUCAAGGUGCAGACAUAAAGAAGAAAAGAUGUAUGUCAUUGCUCCAAGAGAAGGGAAUAUUGAAAACUUUCCCUUUUAAGAAUUUGAUAGUAAGGGCCACUCACUAUUUAGCCCUGAAUGAGGAAUUCUCUGUGUACAAAUCGCCCGUCAUCCCUGUAGAUGGACAAGUCGUAACAAAGUUGACUUACUGGAAGGUGAGUCAA
rnacentral:rRNA from 1 species